CUUAUACCGUGGAAACUGCCGAAUGGCUCAUUAAAUCAGUUAUCGUUUAUUYGAUAGUACCUACUUACUUGGAUAACCGUGGUAAUUCUAGAGCUAAUACAUGCUAAAAACCUCGACUUCGGAAGGGGUGUAUUUAUUAGAUAAAAAACCAAUGCCCUCCGGGGCUCCCUGGUGAUUCAUAAUAACUAAACGAAUCGCAUGGCCUUGCGCCGGCGAUGGUUCAUUCAAAUUUCUGCCCUAUCAACUUUCGAUGGUAGGAUAGUGGCCUACCAUGGUGGCAACGGGUAACGGGGAAUUAGGGUUCUAUUCCGGAGAGGGAGCCUGAGAAACGGCUACCACAUCCAAGGAAGGCAGCAGGCGCGCAAAUUACCCAAUCCCGACACGGGGAGGUAGUGACAAUAAAUACUGAUGUGGAGCUCUUUAGGGUUUCACAAUUGGAAUGAGAAAAAUCUAAACCACUUAAACGAGGAACAAUUGGAGGGCAAGUCUGGUGCCAGCAGCCGCGGUAAUUCCAGCUCCAAUAGCGUAUAUUAAAGUUGUUGCAGUUAAAAAGCUCGUAGUUGAACCUUGGGCCUGGCCGGCCGGUCCGCCUCACCGCGUGCACUGGUUCGGCCGGGCCUUUCCUCCUGGGGAACCGCAUGCCCUUCACUGGGUGUGCCGGGGAAUCAGGACUUUUACUUUGAAAAAAUUAGAGUGUUCAAAGCAGGCAUUUGCUCGAAUACAUUAGCAUGGAAUAAUAGAAUAGGACGUUGUGGUUCUAUUUUGUUGGUUUCUAGGACCGCCGUAAUGAUUAAUAGGGGACGA
rnacentral:rRNA from 1 species